GACGAACGCUGGCGGCGUGCUCAACACAUGCAAGUCGAACGGAAAGGCCCUGCUUGCAGGGUCCUCGAGUGGCGAACGGGUGAGUAACACGUGGGUGAUCUGCCCUGCACUUCGGGAUAAGCCUGGGAAACUGGGUCUAAUACCGGAUAGGAGCCAUUUUUAGUGUGAUGGUUGGAAAGUUUUUUCGGUGUAGGAUGAGCUCGCGGCCUAUCAGCUUGUUGGUGGGGUAAUGGCCUACCAAGGCGGCGACGGGUAGCCGGCCUGAGAGGGUGGACGGCCACAUUGGGACUGAGAUACGGCCCAGACUCCUACGGGAGGCAGCAGUGGGGAAUAUUGCACAAUGGGCGCAAGCCUGAUGCAGCGACGCCGCGUGGGGGAUGACGGCCUUCGGGUUGUAAACUCCUUUCGCUAGGGACGAAGCUUUUUGUGACGGUACCUAGAUAAGAAGCACCGGCUAACUACGUG
rnacentral:rRNA from 1 species